UUUUUUUUUUUUUUAAUAAAGCUUUGAACUAUUCAAAAUAUUCUAUGAUGUAUGUAUAACUUUGAUAAAUAUAAAAUUUAAAUUUGAAGUAAAUCAUUGACUCCUUAAGUAAAUCAAGUAAAUCAUUGCUAACAUAAUUUUCCAUUCUUAAUAAAUUAUUUUGAAGUUUACAAGUCUUAUUUGACAUUUAAAAAUCUCAGAAAGGGGAGUUCUCGUCGUGGCACAAUGGAAAUGAAUCUAAGAACCAUGAGGUUGCGGGUUCAGUCCCUGGCCUUGCUCAGUGGGUUAAGGAUCCAGCGUUGCCAUGAGCUGUGGUGUGGCUUGCACACAAGGCUUGGAUCUGGCGUUGCUGUGGCUGUGGUGGAGGCCGGCAGCUGUAGCUCUGAUUAGACCCCAGCCUGGGAACUUCCAUAUGCUGCAGGUGUGGCCCUAAAAAAAAGAAAAAAAGAAAAAAGAAAAAAAAUCUCAGAAAUAAUUUCCUAGUGGCAGACAACACACCAGAUGUGAUAUAAAGUACACUGUGGGCCUAUUACUUUAAUGGAAUUAGACUGAACAAGGAAAGAGACCCCUUGUGUUGUUACUGAAAAUGAAUUUUUGUAUUUUGGUUCAGAUAUACUCUUACCCUGUGUGGAAAUGAUAAACUUCCUGUCUAAAUAUUUUACUGAAGAGGGCAUUUAUAUCUAGAGUUAUUUCCACCUCUGCAUGUUGGUAAUCCUAGCUGGCUGGGCUUUUCACCAUCCCCACAGUUCUCUGCUUCAUAUACUUUGCAGAUCAGUCUUUGUCUCGUGAUGGAUUACUGCUUUGUGAGUUCUUCCUCUGCUCGCAUCUCAGAUUGGUUGUGUGCUGGUGGAUCAGAUUUCUUAGUGAAGAGUCAGUAUUUCCCAUUUUUAAUUAAUCCACACACUGUUAAUUAGUAACUAUCAGAGCAGCAUGAUUUAAUGGAAAAAACAUUGGACCAGGAAUCAAGAGACUUGAUUUCUGUUUAAAGCUGGGCCAUUUGACUGUCUCAUCUCUCUGUGCUUUAGUUUUCUCACUUGUAAUGGAACAAUUUAGAAUAGGAACUCUCUAAGACGUCUUACAGGUAUAAUAUGGUAUGAUUCUGGGCAUAUGCAUUUAUCUAAAUGCUUGGGUACGAGAUUAAAUCACAGUAUGAACAAAUUGGGACUUUUUCUUACAGCUCUGAAUAUCAAUGUGUGCAACAGGUUGACAAAUAAGGACUUAAAAGAAGGAACUAGAGAGACUUAAGUCACUGAACGAAGGAAAUAACCAGGCGGUUUUACUGAAUUACUUAUUCUGUAUCCCUCAAUGGAUGGGGACUAGGAAGAUGCUUAAGUCUUGGGACAUGACAUACAAAAAAACAAUAGGUAAUAUUUUACCAACACUUUUCAAUAUCUUAUUUCCCCCUUUGGCUUCCCUUCAUUUAUACGUGGGAUCCAUAUCCAUCACAUGUCAUUUUCCAGAGAUACUGUACGGUUUCAGAAUCUCACAUUUUUGGGGUUGAUUUUUAGAUACAGUAGGUAAGAAAAAGUCUAAGGGAAAUACAAGUUACAAGUAGAUUUUCUUGGCUCCUCUUUCAUUUUGUUUUCUAUGAUUCAUGUCGAAAGGAUCAUGAGAGUUGGGAAUGGGGGGCAAAGGGGCCAACGCUUGGAAAGUUUUGACAGACUUUGUUUAGGUAAGUCUUCUGCCCAGCAGCUCUCGGUGAAUGGUGGGUCUUUGACAUGGAUGGGAGGCUAGGUGAUGAAACUCAUUGCACAGGCAGUGCGGAGCCACAGGGCAACCUUAAAAGCCGGCGGGCCUGACUUGCUGUCUUCCACGGCGGAGCUUCUCUGCAGGCUCUUCACAGCCUUCGGAUGGGCCACCUGCAAGUCUUCCUUCUGUUUUCACUUCAGGGCACGGACAGAGCCCUAGACUCCAGCCCCUAAAACACCUUCAGCCACCAAAGCUUUUCUUGGGCUUGAUUUUAGCCCAUCUUUCCCUGGACACAUCCUUUCACUCACACACACAUGCGCAUACUUGCCUUUCCAAUGAACGUGAUGAAGGCAAGAGAAGGGAAGGUGAUGGAUCCCAGAGAACAGACAGAUCCUGUCUUUUAUCUCAAGUCUCUUUGCUUCUAUGGUUCAUGGGACUUUGGUUUUGGAGUCUCAGCCCAGCUCUAACGUUCACGCUGCCUAUUACUGGUGGAAAAGGGGGGGAAGAAAAGAGCCGCUUCCCUGUCUCUUUGCCUUCAUCUGCUGUGCACGUGGAAGUGUGUGCGGCUGACCCAAAGCUCGCUGGCAUGUCAGCGUGCAGCCGCAGGGCGAGGGGCGUUUGAUUUAUAAAUGGAAUGUAUAAUAGGCACGAUGCCUUCUGAGGCGAACGUUCAUGGAAAAAUCACAUGCCGCUCACAUGAGGGACCAAGAUCUUUUUUUAUUAUUUUAAUGAAUUGAGUUUUUUCAGGGCACCAGGGAGAUAAGAAGAUACCUGCCAAUAACCCUCUGAUUGUGUCCCCGGCCAAUGGGUGGGCUUCCACACGGCUACUCCUCUCGUCAAUUGAGUUUGUGUGUUAAGUCAAGGUUUAGCUUUGGAUGUGAAGCUCUCGCUCAAACAAAGCCACAGACGCUCCGACGGUGGAAACCAUCGCAUAAUUCUCCUCUUUGUUUCUUUAAAGAGCACCGGGUUGGUAAAAAAAAAUCCGUUUUGAGAAGACUCGGUCUGGAGAUAAUGAUAGUGAAGAUGAGAAAAGACAGCAGGUUGUAAGUUCUGGCCUAAGUUCGGAAAGAGGCCAAAAAAAAAAAAAAAAAAAAAAAAAA
rnacentral:lncRNA from 1 species